GAUAAACGCUGGCGGCGUGCCUAACACAUGCAAGUCGAACGCCCUGGAGCAAUUCAGGGAGUGGCGGACGGGUGAGGAACACGUGGGUGAUCUACCUUGAGGUGAGGAAUACCGGCGAGAAAUCGCCGACAAUACCGCAUACGUUCGUAAGAACAAAGUCGCAAGACGCCUGAAGAUGAGCCUGCGUCCGAUUAGCCAGUUGGUGGGGUAAUGGCCUACCAAAGCAGCGAUCGGUAGCUGGUCUGAGAGGACGAUCAGCCACACUGGGAUUGAGAACGGCCCAGACUCCUA
rnacentral:rRNA from 1 species